GUUGAACGCUGGCGGCGUGCCUAAUACAUGCAAGUCGAACGCAGUUGCGAAUGGGUGAGUAACGUGUAGGUAACUGUCUUAUAGCGGGGGAUAACUAAUGGAAACGAUAGAUCAUACCGCUUCCUGUGAGAUGGAUCUGCGUUGUAUUAGCUAGUUGGCGGGGUAAAGGCUCACCAAGGCGACGAUACAUAGUCGGCCUGAGCGGGUGAUCGGCCCCACUUGUACUGAGACACGGGCCAGACUCCUACGGGAGGCAGCAGUGGGGAAUCUUCGGCAAUGGGGGGAAGUCUGACCGAGCAACGCCGCGUGAGUGAAGAAGGUCUUCUGGUCGUAAAGCUCUGUUAGUGGGGAAGCGUUAACUGACCAAUAAGGAACGGCUAACUCCGUGCCAGCAGCCGCGGUAAUUC
rnacentral:rRNA from 1 species